AUCCUUAUUCAGGGGCAAUAUCGCUGUAAGUGACGUACCAACGGAUACGCGAGAUUGCUAAUUGAAAACUACUCCAAUGCGAGUGUACGACUUCCUUGUGAAGUCGUUCACCAAUUUCUGAAGGGUCGAAAGAC
rnacentral:snRNA from 11 species